GACCCUGCAAGAACAUUUUGUGUAGGUGGAGGAACUGGCAACACUUCUGGUACAAUUUCAGCAUGUUUGUUUUUUAAAUAAGCCCUGUUUUUUUUUCAGAAUACAACAGAAACAGCCAUCAGAUAUUUUUCCUAUUCUGAAACACUGGUUUUGCUACUCCAGGAAGACCUGUCCUCAACAGUUUCAGCUGUACACAGCAAGCAAAACUGAAUUUGACUCAGAACUGAGGAGGAUACCACAUUCUUGCUUGAAGUCUUCUCUGGGAAGUGGAAGCAGAAUCCAUGAAGUAUUUCUAAGCUUGCUUUGAAAUGAGAAGGCCGAAACA
rnacentral:lncRNA from 1 species